rnacentral:rRNA from 1 species
CCUAGGAAUCUGCCUGGUAGUGGGGGAUAACGUCCGGAAACGGGCGCUAAUACCGCAUACGUCCUGAGGGAGAAAGUGGGGGAUCUUCGGACCUCACGCUAUCAGAUGAGCCUAGGUCGGAUUAGCUAGUUGGUGGGGUAAAGGCCUACCAAGGCGACGAUCCGUAACUGGUCUGAGAGGAUGAUCAGUCACACUGGAACUGAGACACGGUCCAGACUCCUACGGGAGGCAGCAGUGGGGAAUAUUGGACAAUGGGCGAAAGCCUGAUCCAGCCAUGCCGCGUGUGUGAAGAAGGUCUUCGGAUUGUAAAGCACUUUAGGUUGGGAGGAAGGGCAGUAAGUUAAUACCUUGCUGUUUUGACGUUACCAGCAGAAUAAGCACCGGCUAACUUCGUGCCAGCAGCCGCGGUAAUACGAAGGGUGCAAGCGUUAAUCGGAAUUACUGGGCGUAAAGCGCGCGUAGGUGGUUCAGCAAGUUGGAUGUGAAAUCCCCGGGCUCAACCUGGGAACUGCAUCCAAAACUACUGAGCUAGAGUACGGUAGAGGGUGGUGGAAUUUCCUGUGUAGCGGUGAAUGCGUAGAUAUAGGAAGGAACACCAGUGGCGAGGCGACCACCUGGACUGAUACUGACACUGAGGUGCGAAAGCGUGGGGAGCAACAGGAUUAGAUACCCUGGUAGUCCACGCCGUA